CCCUUAGAUGUUCUGGGCAGCACGCGCGCUACAAUGGUCUUCGCAAACGGAUGCAUUCUCGAAGGAGAAUGCCAAUCUUGGAAUCUAUGCCUUGGUCGGGACAGUUGCUUGCAAUUUUUCGACUCGAACCAGGAAUUCCUUAUAAUCGUGAUUCAUCACAUCACGAUGAAUACGUCCCUGCCCUUUGUACACACCGCCCGUCGCUCCUACCGAUCGAAGAGUUAGGUGAAUUGUUUUGAUCGAUAAGAUUUGACUAUGGUCAACUCUCGUUGUGAAAUUCUGUGAAUCUGACUGUUUAGAGGAAGGAAAAGUCGUAACA
rnacentral:rRNA from 1 species